rnacentral:lncRNA from 10 species
UUGCAACUGGGUCGUGACUGUCCUCAGCAGUCCUUCCAGGCGGCAGACGCAGUUUGUCAGUUUGCCAACAUUCUGCACCCAAAAGAAACAGUUUGCUGCCCACUCAUACAGCCUCCAGUGGUAUACCGAGUUGAUCACGACCCUCAAUCCUUCUGCCUCCAACACUUCUGGUCCUGUAGGGAGGGCAGUGCACAAUAUAGAUCCAGUGACUUAUGUUUCAGGACCAAAGUUGCCUGGAAUCCUGUCCAGAUCACCUACUUAUUGGCUCUGUGGCCUUGGGGUCCACUGUUCUGGAAUUACACUUGGUAUCAUACUGAAAGUUGCAAGCAUUCCAGAUGGUGUAACUGACAUGAGAGACAAAUCAGUCAUUCAAUUUAGGGAUGCCAGUGAGUUCCAAAAGAGCCUCAUCCAACAGUUUACUAAAUGGUAUCCCCACCAUGGCCUCAAAGAGCUCUGUCUCCUUCUGUGAGCCUUCUUCUCUUUCCCAGGAAAUUGCUUCAGUCCUGGUGGAAUACUGCAAACUGUAAAAGCUCCUCAACUUCCUGUGUUCUAAAAGUUAUUUACUCUGUUAGGCAAUCUACCUAACUAGAGUUCAUUUUCAUCCAAACUGAACAGUUUCUGCAAUAGCCUACGACCAUUUUGGACACAGCAACCUACAGGCAAGUUCUCAUCUGGACUCCUGGAUAUUUUCCCCAAUCCUGGACCUAGAAAUUAGCCUUUUCAUUUGCUUAGGAAAUGGAAUCAAAGGUCAUGGAUGAAACGCAUGAACAGGGUUUAGGAGACGGGGAACCUGCUCUUGGGGAUGAGGAUGAAAGCUGCAGACUAUCAAACUUGAACUUGAAAAUUGUGGUGAUCUUCUUGAACAUCUGUUUCCUAAUCACAGAAGCACAAAAACGUAUUUAAAAUUAUGGCAAAAAGACUUCAAGGAUCAAUAGAACUUCUCACUAGAGAAUUUGGCACUUCUUUGGAGAAUAUCCGUAAUAGCUACAAUCUAUAAUUUAAUUGUCAAGCAUUAAUAUGAAUUUAUGAAUGCUGAACUUUAGGUGCAACCAAAUCCCAUUUUUAACAGCAAGAGAAUCAUUUUGUGGACCUUAAAUUGCAUUGAUUUUAAAUAACUUGGAACCACACCUGCAUUUUUAAUGUGCCGCUUUGCUCUCACUGUAUAGGGUGAUUCUUACCCAAACUGGUAGAUGCGCUGUUUGCUCCAUCCCUUUAGAAGUACAUCAGGGGAAAGAAAAGGGAAGAGAAAACUAGGAAAUUACACCCAUUCAGAAAUCAUGAAGAGGCUGGGCUUUUGUCCUUCAUAUGUGAUUUUUUUUGAAACAUGAUUUUUGAAAUGAUUUAAAACGUAAGUUGUUGUAGGUUUGAAUUAUACAGCUCAAGUGAAGGGGUGUAGGAUGUAUGUGGAGGGUAAGGGAUGAAGGUUGGAAAAAUUACUGUUUGUGAGGUCCAAGCUAUUCAUGUAUUUGUUUAAUUCUCAUAACACUUCUGUAAAACUAGGGUUAUUGUUUCCAUUUAACAAGGAGAAAAGCCAGGCUCUAAGAAGAAAAUUAAUCUGCCGAAAGUCAUAGCUUUGUUCUCUUCAGAAUAAAACCUUUACUUAAAAGGUAAAGCUAUAAUGUUAUUUUCUUUACUGAAGAUGUCAUGAAUGGUACAUUUCUAAAAGGUAUCUCCCAUAUCUACUUACCCCAAGCAAAUCCUCUUUCCUUUGAACCAAAGCCAGCACACAUUUUUGGGAAAUAGUAAAUAUUUUAGGCUUCAUGAGCCAUAUCGUGUCUGUAGCAACUACUCAACCUGCUGAGGUGGAGCAAAACCAGCCAUUGACCACAUGUAAAUAAAUGAGCAUGGCUGCGUUUCAGCAAAACUUUACUUAUAAAAGCAAAUGGAAUACAAAAGCGGGGAGUCAGUGAAAUUUGGUCUGCAAGCCUGGUUUGCCAACCCCUGCUUGAGUCCAUACAUCCUCAGAACAAAAAUGAACAAAAAAUCCAAAAAAGUGCUAAAUGAAGGUGGAGUUUGGAGGUGAAAACAUUUUCUGUAAAGGGUAUCAUAAGCUUUAUAUUGUUUUCAUCAUAUAUUGAGGGGAAAAUCCAUUACUGUAUAUAUACUGUAUGACUGUAUCAGUUGUAUAACUGUGUAGGUCCUUGGAAUAAAACAAAACUCUUCUUUAAAUAUAUGCAUGCCCAGUGUUUCAAGUAUUACACAUAGUUAACCACAGAAGACUGAGUGAGAGCAUGCUCUGAUUCAUGCAAAAACUGUUACAGUUCCGCUGUAGUUGAGUGGCUGGUUCCUUUUCUUCUUAUCAUCAACUCAAUUUUAAUGCAAUCUUUAAAUUCCCUGACACCAACAGAUUAUCAUAUUG